CACGUAGGGCGCAAGCGUUGUCCGGAAUUAUUGGGCGUAAAGAGCUCGUAGGUGGUUUGUUACGUCCGCUGUGAAAUCCUAGGGCUUAACCCUGGGCUUGCAGUGGAUACGGGCAGACUAGAGGUAGGUAGGGGAGAAUGGAAUUCCUGGUGUAGCGGUGAAAUGCGCAGAUAUCAGGAGGAACACCGGUGGCGAAGGCGGCCUGCUGGGGCAGUUGCUGACACUGAGGCGCGACAGCGUGGGGGAGCAAACAGG
rnacentral:rRNA from 1 species